GACGAACGCUGGCGGCGCGCUUAACACAUGCAAGUCGAGCGAUGAAACUUUAACAGCACCCUUCGGGGCGAAGAUAAAGGGGAUUAGCGGCGUACGGGUGAGUCACACGUGAGUACCCUACCUUAGACAUUGGGAUAGCCUCGGGAAACCGGGAUUAAUACCAAUUAAAAUCAUAAUGACACAUGUCAUAACGAUCAAAACUCCGGUGGUCUAAGAUGGACUCGCGUCCCAUUAGCUAGUGGGUAGAGUAAAAGCCUACCAAGGCGACGAUGGGUAGCCGGCAUUAGAGGGUGAACGGCCACAUUGGAACUGAGAGACGGUGCAGACUCCUACGGGAGGCAGCAGUGGGGAAUAUUGCACAAUGGAGUGAAGUCUGAUGCAGCGACGCCGCGUGAACGAAGAAGGCUUUAGAGUCGUAAAGUGCUUUUAUAUGGGAAGAUAAUGAAGGUACCAUAAGAAAAAGCCCCGGCUAACUACGUG
rnacentral:rRNA from 1 species